UGGGGAAUAUUGCACAAUGGACGGAAGUUUGAUGCAGCGACGCCGCGUGGAGGGUGUAGGCCUUCGGGUUGUGAACUCCUUUUUCUCGCGAAUAAGGCACAGUUUUUGCUGCGUGGAUGGUAGUGGGGGAAGAAGCGCCGGCUAACUACGUGCCAGCAGCCGCGGUAAUACGUAGGGUGCGAACGUUGUCCGGAUUUAUUGGGCGUAAAGAGCUCGAAGGUGGUUCGUCGCGUCUGUCGUCAAAGCCAGCAGCUUAACUGUUCGUCUGCGGUAGGUACGGCCGGGCUUGAGUGCGGUAGGGGUGACUGGAAUUCCUGGUGUAGCGGUAGAAUGCGCAGAUAUCAAGACGAACACCGAUGUCUAAGGCAGGUCACGGAGCCGUUACUGACACUGAGGAGCGAAAGCGUGGGGAGCGAACAGG
rnacentral:rRNA from 1 species